UGCCGAUGGGAAGAGCACAUGGACUCCCGA
rnacentral:piRNA from 1 species